rnacentral:rRNA from 1 species
UACGAAGGGGGGCGAGCGUUGUUCGGAUUUACUGGGCGUAAAGGGCGCGCAGGCGGCGCAUUUUGUCAGGCGUGAAAGCCCCGGGCUUAACCUGGGAACUGCGUUUGAUACGGAUGGGCUAGAGUUCGGGAGAGGAGAGUGGAAUUCCCAGUGUAGAGGUGAAAUUCGUAGAUAUUAGGAAGAACACCGGUGGCGAAGGCGGCCCACUGGUCCGGUACUGACGCUGAGGUGCGAAAGCGUGGGGAGCAAACAGG